AACGAACGCUGGCGGCAUGCCUAACACAUGCAAGUCGAACGAGACCUUCGGGUCUAGUGGCGCACGGGUGCGUAACGCGUGGGAACCUGCCCUUAGGUUCGGAAUAACUCCCCGAAAGGGGUGCUAAUACCGGAUAAUGUCUUCGGACCAAAGAUUUAUCGCCUUUGGAUGGGCCCGCGUUGGAUUAGCUAGUUGGUAGGGUAAAAGCCCACCAAGGCGACGAUCCAUAGCUGGUCUGAGAGGAUGAUCAGCCACACUGGGACUGAGACACGGCCCAGACUCCUACGGGAGGCAGCAGUGGGUAAUAUUGGACAGUCGGCGGAAGCCUGAUCCAGCAAUGCCGCGUGAGUGAUGAAGGCCUUAGGGUUGUAAAGCUCUUUUACCCGGGAUGAUAAUGACAGUACCGGGAGAAUAAGCUCCGGCUAACUCCGUG
rnacentral:rRNA from 1 species